ensembl:lncRNA
UUUUUUGCAUCAAAACGCAGCACAAAUACUCAGAUUCAAUCUUGAAAUGGGGUUGUUGCAAGUCAUGCUAGUUGGGAUUAAUUUGUUUAUGAUGCGGUCUUCAACCACAACUAGGCAGCAUCACAGCCCACCAAAACUAAAGUAAGCUUUACUCAAUACAGCGUACUAUUAUAUGGGGUAUUUAAAUAUGUAGUAAUACAUUUUGUUAUGGUCUGGCUCAUUGAAUAUUACGGCUAUAAUGGUUUUAAUACAAAAAGGUUUAUUCCAUACAUAUAAAUGAUACUUCUCAAAUCAAAGAACAAACGAUAUUUGUGAGGAAUGCUCGCAGACCACACCAUGCACCCAGCCGCACCAGGUGUUGUCAGCGGCAACCCCUGCAUCCGGUUGGGCGUCUCUUAAAGACUGGCUGCACUGUACCUUCACUUCAGCAUUUUUGUUAAACAAUGGUCCAAACUGUAGAAUUUUAUUCCAGCAAGCCCUCUCUGUGCUCAUGGCCAUGAAGACUGUAUUCCUUUCAUUGUUAAUGGCAAGGCGUUAACCUACACCAAUUGGGAUUAACUGGCACAUGCCUUCAGUAUCUCAACAAUGAAUAGAUGGCUUGUCAUAAAUAAAUAGACAUUCUUGUUCCUCACACUGUGAAUCGUUCUGACUUCAGUAAACCCUUAACUUUUCUUCAAGCUAAACCAUGAAAUUUGAAGAUUUCAAUUGACUAUUCAAUUUAAGAUUGAUCCCAUUAUUUAUCCUUGACCAAAAUGAUCUGUUAAACAUUUCACUUUGUCUUAUACUUUAGUUACUUACCAAACACCUGGAAUGCAAUGGCAUUUCCAUCAACCGAGUUGCACUUUGUUUCUUAAUAGUUAGCAAAAAAGCAUGUGUAAUGUUCCACGUUCGUCCUGCUUCGUGAAAUAGGCCCUGUCUCAAGGUCCGUCGUCAAAAAAAAUCCAAAUAUAUGGUUUGAUUCAAAUCAAAUCCAUAAGUCAUCAAUACAUUGAGUUCAGGUAUUGGCUGAGACCUCGCCUAGAACACAGAGCCUAGCUGGUUUCCUGUUCACUACCCAUCACCAAGUGCUUCACUAUUACGCAACACGUUUGAAGAAAAAACUAAAUUGAGAAUGCUUUUAAGAUUCUGUUUUCUUCACACAUGCUAACAAGCUAAAGUAAGCUGACAAAAAGAACUGAACAUUAGCAUCAUCGCUGUGAGUAUGUAAGCGUUCACAUCCAUCUUUCAAGUAAGCUUUAACCAGGAUGUCGGAUUGACUUCUCAGUUUAGUCAGCCAUGGCAAUGUGGAAGGAGAUUAUAUGGUAAACUGACCAAUGACACCUAUUUGGUAGCUUGAAUCCAGUUAUGUAUUCAUGUUAGUGCAGUCCUCCAGGUACUGAGAGCCUCAUGUACAUACACUUAUAAACGUAGCAGAAAACGUGCAGAAAGUGCUCGCUGUGAUACAGUUUACGUCGCAUUUACAAAACCUACGCAACCUUUGGCUGAAAUCAUCAGGUUAUCGCCGCCUUUUUCCGCCCACUAUGCCGCACAUCGCAAACAUUUACAUGCGUAAGUGAACAGACUUCCUUUCUCUCUUUCUAUCAUGGAUCAGCCAAGACAAAAAUUCAGUGACAACGAAGUUGAGGUGUUCUGAUGGCUCUGCAGUGGUCGGGUGUAUAAGGGACGGACGGGAGAAGGAGUAUAGGGCAGUAGUGAAGGACUUUGUGGACCAGGUUGGUAGAAAUCACCUGACUCUGAACGUGGCCAAGACCAGAGAGGUGGUGGUGGUGGACUUCAGGAGGAAGACAAUGUCUCCACCCACAGCUCUCGGUGAAAAUGUGGAGGAAGGCCAUAGUGGAGGAGUACAAGUACCUGGGUGUUUUCAUCAACAACAGACUAAACUGAAAGACCAACAUCAACGCUGUGUACAAGAAGGGGAUGAGGCGACUCUUUUUCCUGGGGGAAUUUUCAUCCUUCAAUGUGUGCAGCAAGAUGUUGGAGAGGUCCUACCAUUCUGUUGUGGCCAGUGCUCUGUACUUCGCCAUUGUCUCCUGGGGGAGCAACAUUGGAGCUGGGGACACCAACAGAGUCAAGAAGUUGGUGAAGAAGGCAUUAUUGGCUGCAAACAGGAGCAUCCUGAACAGGUGGUGGAGUGGAGGACACUGAAAAAACUAUUGUCCAUUUUGGACAACCCGGACCACCCUCUUCACCACCUACUGCAGGGACAGCAGGAUGAUCCAGGUCUGUCACAAGGACAGAUACAGGAAAACAUUCCUGCCAACUGCAAUAUGACUGUACAACAAAUAACUUCUGACUAUAUCCUUGUUUAAUUGAAUAACCAUUGCACAAGUGUCUUAAUUUAAUAUCAAUAAGAUACACCACUUAAUUUAAUUUUCAAAUUUAAUUCUACACCUUUUCCACCCCACUGCUACUUCUAUUUCACUUUAAUUUAAUAUGUUUUGCUCUAUUUUAUAAUUAUUUUAUUCUACAGUGUAUAUAUAUUGUGCAUUUCUCAUUUUAAUUAUUGUAUUGUAGUGCUACUAUUACACUAAAAUUUCCUGUUUUCUAUCUACAUCAGGGGUCUCAAACCCAUUUCAGGUUCAGGCCAGAUGCAGCCAACCCACUGACCGAACGCGUGCCAGACCAUUACAAUGGGGGGGGCUGAUCUAUGGGUUAUUUGGGCAUUAGUAUUGCGGAAAUGUAUGUGAUACAGCUGAGUGCAGUCGGCGAUAUUUCCACUGCUGAUGCUCAGACUGUUUGAAAUGAUCCUGAUGCCAAUAAUUGCAAUGUAGCAACAAGUUUAACAACUGCUGGAAUGGAACGUAAACGCUGAGUCGGAGAUUCAAUGUCCUCUUUGAUUUCUUCCAGUAACUGUAAUAUUGCAUGUCUGCUUAGUCUGUAACGCGUAAUGAUUUUUUGUUCACUCAACUGAAAAAGUGUGAUCAUUAUGGCAAUUAUUACUGCUGCCAUUUCACCCAGAGGCAAGUGCGAGGAAACCUGCAUUUUUGUUAACACCUGCUUUUAAGAGGCAGCGAAUUUUCACCGCCAAACGGAGGCGCACUACUUCCACGGCCGGUUUGGGUACAUAACGCAGAAUACAUAAUUAGGCGCAUUUUACGCAUCCCCUCCCAUUUCUUUGUGGGAAACUCCCAUUUUCCCCUUGACCCUCAUGUGAAUGUAUGACACAAGAAGCGCAAUUUGCCUUUUUGAGUUCCCACAUACCUCCCCAUGCUUUUACGUGCACAUUGCAAAACAAAUACGUCUGAAGUGUGGGCAAAAGCGUUAGUACAUGAGGCCCUGAGUGUCUAGAGACAGAAAGAUGUCACCAAGAAAUGUUCUAUAUUAAGCAGAAAGUUGUAUGGCCGAGAACUAUAAUUUAUUAGCGAUCAUUAUCAGUUAUGCAGUAAUAACUUCACACUCCACUCAGAAUUCCAGUGAUAUAAUUUAUAUCUCAUCUUGUGUUGAGUGUUAAAGAGUUUGCUGAUAGAGGAUGCUAUAAUGCAUCAACUUAUACUAAUUUACAAUCAUUGCAGCUCAUUAACCUGAGAUUUAUCAUCAACCUCGUUAGGGGCAUGGUCCAAUAAAAGAAGUUAAGGAGGUGGAAAGCCUGCUAUGGUAAAUAAAAUCAUUUGCUAGAAUUGACUUGUUUAUGUACUUGUGAAGACAUUUAGUCCUAAGAUGUUUGUUUUCUGCAUUCAGUAAAUAAAAUGGCAAAUUACUUGCUAUGCUUUACUAUGUUGAUAAUUGUUAUGUUUGCACCGGGUAAAUAUUGAUUUCAAUUACACAUACUGUAACCAGUACCAGUCAGAAUGUACCUUUUUAACAACUUCACUCAAUUGAAUAUGGUGUGUCCAAACCAGUCAGGUACUGUAUAUAGAAAGUGAAUAUGCAAGUCUAAGUCCAUAUCUAAAAGGUAGUGUUUGAAAAACAUAUAUGCACACAUAAAAUAGUUUGCUUAUUUCUCCCCUUUCUCUUUUAAGAUCAGUUUUAGUGUUUUAUGUGUGUUUAUUGAAGACAUUGUUUGUCACACUAAAACACAAAGACACAGCCUUUUAAGCAGAAAGGUGAAGGUUCCCAGAGAGGGAACUGUCACCUUAUCGUGGUGGAGAGGUUUGUGUGUCCCUAUGAGCCUGAGGGCUGUGUUGUCGGGAGCCUUGUGCUCCUGGUAGGGUUACCCUUGGCAAAGUGGUCUCAGGCGAGGGGCCGGACUAAGAAUGGUUCAAAAAGAUCCUAUAAAAAAACGGAAGAGGGAAGGAGUUACCCGGCCCGGAGGAAGCCCGGGCACCCAUUUAGAGCCAGCCCAAGAUGGAGGGCCCGACAGCGAGCGUCUGGUGGCCAGGUUUACCCGGCCGGGCACAGCCCGAAGGAGUGACGCGGCAGCCCAAGACUCUACUCCCCAUGGGCUCACCACCUGUGGGGGAAACCGAUGGGGUCGGGUGCGCUGCUACAACGGUGGCAGUCACAAUGGGGGGUCUGGACGGAACAGACCUGGGUGGCAGAUGCUGGCUCUGGGGACGUGGAACGUAACCUCUCUGGGGGGGAAGGAGCCGGAGCUUGUGCGGGGGGUGGAGCGUUAACAGUUGGAUCUGGUGGGGCUUACCUCUACGCUCUGGAACCACCCUCCUGGAUAGGGGAUGGACUCUAUUCUACUACGGAGUGGCCCAUGGUGUGAGGCGCCAGGCGGGUGUGGGGAUACUCAUAAGUCCCCCGCUGAGUGCUGCUACAUUGGAGUUUACCCCAGUGGACAAAAGGGCCUCCCUACGCCUUCGGGUGGUGGGGGGGAAAACUCUGACUGUUGUCUGUGCAUAUGCACCAAACAGCAGCUCAGAGUAUUCUGCCUUUUUGGAGACCCUGAAUGGACUCCUGCAUGGGGCUCCAGUAGGGGACUCCAUAGUCCUACUGGGAGACUUCAAUGCGCCCGUGGGCGACGAUGGAGAUAACUGGAGAGGCGUGAUUGGGAGGAAUGGCCUCCCUGAUCUGAACCCGAGCGGGUGUUUGUAACUGGACUUGUUACUUGGACGUGCCAGUCACGGAUUGUCCAUAACAAACACCAUGUUUGAACAUAAGGAUGUUCAUAAGUGUACGUAGUACCAGAUCACCCUAGGCCAAAGAUCAAUGAUCGAUUUUGUAAUCGUAUCGUCUGAUCUGAGGCCGCAUGUUCUGGACACUCGGGUAAAGAGAGGGGCAGAGCUGUCAACUGAUCACCAUCUGGUUGUGAGCUGGGUCAGGAGAUGUGGGAAGACUCGGGACAGACCCGGUAAACCCAAGCGUGUAGUGAGGGUGAACUGGGAACGUCUGGAGGAGGCCCCGGUCCAAAAGAUUUUCAACUCACACCUCCGGCAGAGCUUCUCUCACAUUCCUGUGGAGGUAGGGGACAUUGAACCAGAGUGGUGUAUGUUCAAAACCUCCAUUGCUGAAGCCGCGGCAGUGAGUUGUUGCCUCAAGGUCCUCGUGGUGGACACCGGUGGUCAUAGAGGCCGUCCGACUGAAGAAGAAGGCCUUCCUCGUUAUGAUAUCCGGUGGGAUUCCGGAGGCAGUUGCAGUGUACCGACAUGCUCGAAGGGCAGCAGCCUCUGCCGUGAUGGAGGCAAAGCAGCGAGUAUGGGAGGAGUUCGGGGUAACUAUGGAGAAGGACUUUCGGUCGGCACCAAAGUGCUUCUGGAAGACCAUCCGGCACCUCAGGAGGGGGAAACGGGGAACCAUCCAAGCUGUGUACAGUAAGAAUGGGACCCUGUUGACCACAACUGAGGAGGUUAUCGUACUCUUUCCAGGAUCAUGGAGGGGGCUUGGGAGUAUGCUCAUCCAGUCUACAUGUGUUUUGUGGACUUGGAGAAGGCGUAUGACCGGGUCCCCCGAGAGAAACUGUGGGAGGUGCUGCGGGAGUACGGGGUGAGGGGGUUCUUGCUUGGGGCCAUCCAAUCCUUGUACGCCCAAAGCGAGAGCUGUGUUCGGGUGCUCGGCAGUAAGUCGAAGGCGUUUCCGGUCGGGGUUGGCCUUCGCCAGGGCUGCGCCUUGUCACCAAUCUUGUUUGUGGUUUUCAUGGACAGGAUAUCGAGGCGUAGUCAGGGGGAGGAGGGUCUACAGUUCGGGGGGCUGUGGAUCUCAUCGCUGCUUUUUGCAGAUGAUGUGGUCCUGAUGGCAUCUUCUGUCUGUGACCUCCAACUCUCACUGGAGCGUUUUGCAGUCGAGUGUGAAGCGGUCGGGAUGAGGAUUAGCACCUCUAAAUCUGAGGCCAUGGUUCUCAGCAGGAAACCAAUGGAGUGCCUACUCCAGGUAGGAAAUGUGUCCUUACCCCAGUGAAGGAGUUCAAGUACCUCUGGGUCUUGUUCACGAGUGAGGGGAAGAUGGAGUGUGAGUUUGGUCGGAGAAUCGGAGCAGCGGGGGCGCACCGUUGUGACGAAAAGAGAGCUGAGCCGGAAGGCAAAGCUCUCGAUCUACCGGUCAAUCUUCGUUCCUACCCUCAUCUAUGGUCAUGAAGGAUGGGUCAUGACCGAAAGAACUAGGUCACGGGUACAAGCGGCCGAAAUGGGUUUCCUCAGGAGAGUGGCUGGCAUCUCCCUUAGAGAUAGGGUGAGAAGCUCAGCCAUUCGUGAGGAGCUCGGAGUAGAGACGCUGCUCAUUUGCAUCAAAAGGAGCCAGUUGAGGUGGUUUGGGCAUCUGGUGAGGAUGUCCCCUGGGUGCCUCCCUACGGAGGUGUUCCAGGCACGGCCAGCUGGGAAGAGGCCCCGGGGAAGACCCAGGACUAGGUGGAUAGAUUAUAUCUCUGCACUGACCUGGGAACGCCUUGGGAUCCCCCAGUCAGAGCUGGUAGAUGUGGCCCGGGAAAGGGAAGUUUGGGGUCCCCUGCUGGAGCUGUUGCCCCGCGACCCGACCCCGGAUAAGCGGUUGAAAAUGGAUGGAUGGAUGGACAGCCUUUUAGAACUUGAUGGGGAUGAAUAUGCCAGGCUCGGGAUCAGGCCCCUGGUACAAACUGAUGAUAGAUGAUGCGAUGUGCUGGAACUUUCUGAAAACACCCCUAACCUGCCUGGUUCGGAGUGUACGUACAUGAAAAUUGACUACUAUCUGAAUACAUGUAUGAAAGAGUGAGACUGACAGCGUGUGGCAGGUGCUGGAGAGCCAGUGUGUAAAGUUCCUGCUGUGCAUAUAGCAAAGUGUACAUGCUGGCAGCUGUACUUCUCUGAACUGAACCAUCUACUAUCUUCCAUUUAGCAGGUGUCAAUUUCCAUCUUCCUGAGGUGCAGUGAGCCUGAUGGCUGCUAAAUGUUUUCAUCCAUUGCCAUUGCUUGGAAUAAGGACACUGGUGCUCGAGAGGUUUAGAAUUUUUCAAGCUGCACAGGGAUGUAGCAAAUACACAGUCUACACAUAUUAUAUGUGUAAACUGAGAUUCAUUUGGCAUUCAUUUGGACGCGUUCAUGUAUUUACACAAAAAAACAGAGGUCAGUCACUGGUUCUGUGCAGUGUCGUGGGUUUGACUUAAUAUUUCCUUAAAAUAAAUUUACGUUGCACAAAACAAUAAUAUUUUCAAUUGAAUGCUUUAGUAAUUCAACAGAAACAAAUCCAUGAAUGCUGUAUGUCUAUGAAAAAACUAUGUCAAUGAUGUGCUUUGCGUGAAUAAAACAGUGCUCUGCAUUAGAUGUCUUACAGAAAGCUUUUCCCUUUGAUAAAUAGGUGCAGGUCAAAAGGGGAUCUGGUGAUAACAGAUGGGUAUGGAGGCAGUAGCCUUGUAAUACCCUCAUAUACAGACUACCAGCUGUGAUCCUUGUUCAUCGUGAGAUAAACCUUGAUAAAUGUGAGAAAAGAUCCAUAGAUGCUUGAGGCCUUCUUGCACAAAAAUAACUCAUCUUUUCUGGUACUCAAGGAUGCACCACAUAGCAGCAUACAGUAUUGUGGUAACUUAUUUGGCAAGCCGCUGUGACAUAAUGAAACAAUGAUUUUUCUAACGACAUUACCAAAUAAACUGUAUUUAAUAGGGAUCUGUCAGGUCUGUGUAAGAAUAUCCAAUCCGCUUAAGGAGACCAGUAUUGGCACCGCUAUACUGAGCCGGUAUAUCAAAUAAGUGCAUCCGGGAUGUCCGAGGUGAAAUGGUCCAUUGGAGGUAUCUGCCUAAUGAACUGCAGAGGAAAAAAAGAGAUCAGUAAUAUUUCAUGACUGGGGCAACAUAAAAGCUAGAAAGCAUCAGGUAAUGACUGAAUAAAAAGCCUUUCUUUGGAACUUUGAUAUACUUUCUUAUCGGGGAGACUUAAUAGCAAGUGCUUGGAGGUUUCCUCCUGGCGUCCAGUGCGGCCCGCUGCUAUUGUGAGAAUUACAGAAAUGGUCCUCAUGCAUGCGCGGCAGCUUCUGCACCUUUUACAUCGAUUCGUCCCCCGCCGGCCGUGUCGUGCAACCCUGUACCGCCCCCCUCCCGGUCGGCCGUAGUGUCCACCACAUCCUCCAUAUGAUCUUAAUGGUCUGGUCCGCGUUCGAUCGAAGUGGGCAGUAUCUGGAUCUAACAUUAAAAGAGUUUGACACCCCUGCUUUAGAUGGAAUUUGUUUGAAUGCAAAAUAGCCAAUUUCCCUCAUCAAUCCAAUGUAGCAAAAAUAUUUUUUUCUCGUCCUGCACUUUAUUUGUAUUUUCAUCAAAUAGCAAUACUCAGUAAGUCCGAUACUUGGAAUGGAUUCCCGCUCUCGCAACACUCAUGGUGCCGAUUGGAUGAAUCCUUCAGACUAUGGUGAUCCCUCUGACUUUAUCCAGCGCCAUUAUCAGGUCAAAUUUUGAAUCUCAAAGGCCGUUCUUAUAAUUCUACUUUUAUUUUGGAAGUUUUUAUAUUUUAUAUUCUCAUUUUAUCUCUGUUUUCCCUCGUUUAAAUGGGUUGCGCCAUACUACGCCAUUAGUUUCUUAUUGAAAAACGGUGGAUGAAUACGAUUGUUAAUCAUUAUUAAUAAAACCUUGAAAAUAAAAAAAUGUUGAAGCCCUAAUUCUGUACAAACCCAAAUUUCCAAAAGGGAUGCAGCAGUAGGUUUUUUACUGUACAAGAUUUAAGAUUUAAUAGAUGCUCCCUGACAGCAUCACUGUAUAAAAACAGACAUUCUAUGGUAGCUCUUGGCCUUUGGUUUUUGUUGUUUUCAUUUCCUUUUUAGAAUGAUAGAAAAAAGUGGGAAAAUAGACGCUUGGAAAUAGUCUGAAUCAUCCCUUACUCUCACAAUCUCAUUUCUUGGCUGCAAUUUUCUGAGUUAAAUUGUGUAAUAAUUGGGUGGCACGGUGGCGUGGUGGUCCUGGGUCCGACUCCGCCCAGUGGCCUUUCUGUGUGGAGUCUGCAUGUUCUCCCCGUGUCUGAGUGGGUUCUCUCCGGGUACUCCGGCUUCCUCCCACAGUACAAAGACAUGCACUGGGGAUCAGGUUGAUUGGUGACUCUAAAUUGGCCGUAGGUGUGUGUGUGAAUGGUUGUAUGUCUCUGUGUAGCCCUGUGAUUGGCUGGCGACCAGUUCAGGGUGUACCCAGUCUCUCGCCUGAAGUUGGCUGGGAUAGACUCCAGUUCCCCUGCGACCCUGUGUGCAGGAUAAGCGGUUUGACGAUGGAUGGAUGGAAAUUGUGUAAUUGAAUACUUCACAGUCCUUACAGACCCCUCCAGCUUAUUUUUCUCUGUCUUGUCUGACACCUGGCUUUUAGGGGACCUUCACUUUGCAAAUGCUUCCCAAUCACUCCCACAAGGAAAGUUAACAGCUAUGAAACAUUUCCACGUGGGAGAUAAUGUUCUGAUAUCAAUUAAAGUAUGAGGGGGGAACGAAUGGCAUCCUCCGAUGGUGUGGGAAUUCAGAAAUUAAGUAGUAUUCCCCUUUAACCAAAGCUCUCGAAAUGGUCCUCCCAGGUGUAAUGGUUUCUGUGUCAGACUGUGGAAUAUAAUGAAUCAAGUGCAAUAAAAUCCCCAUACUACUUUCUUUCAUCUUUAAUUUGACGCCCUGACUUUUGUGACAACCGCUGUUGUACAAUCACACUCUAAUUUCCCCCAAAGCAAAAUGUGCCAGUCUCGAGACGCGCAGGCACCAAUGAUUAACUUUGAGCAAUUACAAUAUGAAUAGGGGGCCUUCUUUGUCUCUUCACGUCACCCCCAUAAAAGACUGAUUAGCUAUUAAUAACGAAGCAAGUUGUCGUCUUUGUGUGACCUGUCAGAUUUACUGGAGUUCUCUAUUCUGGAAAUCAGGACAAACCAAUCAUUUUAUGAAUUAUAAUGUACAUUACCACAUCCGAGGAACAUGUAUGCGACUAGAAAAAAAUAGUAAACAUACACACAAGCACAAACGCAUAGAUAGAUAGAAUUUUCUCAACAAUUGUAGAGAAAAAGAAGGAAUAAAUUGUCUAACGUAACACAGCUCAUCAAACAAUAACAGGCACAAGUAGCAGCUCUGUCUGAUAAAUAACUUAACUGCCAUUUGUCAUCACCUAGUGAUUCUUAUUUUGAUAGUUUGAAGUACAAUUAUUUCCCUUGCUGUCAUAAUGAACACCAUCAUUUUUCAUUUUUAGACAUUUAGAAAGACUUUUUUUCACCACAAGAUUGCUAAAGGAUUAAAGUCAACUAUUGUUUUUUUAGUUGAUCAGAAGGUAAAAUAAACUUCUGUUCUUGAAAUUGUUCCGAAACGCAUCAAGACCUGUAUCCUAUUAUAACAAGGGGGCCAAUGUUCUAAAAAUGCACAAAUGGAGAAUUUAACAUUUUUUAGCAUAGAAUUGUUUUUUAGAAAAAAUAAGUCAGAUUGGAAUUUGUACUUUUAGUGUUGUCUAAUCAAACAUGCACAUUCAGUAGAGCGUAAAGUAAUGGUAAAAUAUAAUCAUGCCAUAAUGUUUUAUAAUAUUAAAUGCUUAAAGCUGAUCAUGCGUAUGAUCGUGGAAAGGUUUUAGCAGAAAGACACAGAGCACCUUUUCUGGUGUCAGGCCAUGCAUUUAUUGAAAGUCUUUUCUUACAGUAUCUUUCACUUAAGGAGUUAAAUGUUCAAGGGUGAGGAAGUGGUGCUCUUGUCUUGUUUGGAAAGCAUCCAGGGAUGGUCAGACAUAUUUAAUACUGUGAAACCUAUGAUUUAUUCAUGACAUAUUUAUUUUCCAGAAAUAAGUAAUGUCUUUUCUCAAAAUGCUCCUGAUAGAUGUUCCUUAUAUUUUGUGUCAAAUUUUUAAAGUGUCAAAUACUUUUCAGUAAACUUUUAUUUAUCCAUAGAGGUGGAAAUCAAUGGCAUCAGCCCUCAGUGUAAAACAGGAUAUGAUUUACUUGUGGUGUGGUUUAACUAGUUGCUGAAUGUAAAAGACUGAAUCGUAGACAAAAACAACUUUAAAUCCUCACAACCACAAAUCCUAGUAAAACUGAUCCAUCAAGUUGUGAAUCUAUUCUGAAUCCGACAUUGAAGUCAAGUGUUUCCACAGAUGAUGGAAGUUUAGAGGUUUGCCGUACUAUUGGUGAAUUUAGACUUUUGCUCAAAGGCAUUUAUGUUGAUAUACAGAUAAAGGGACAAAGGGUUGAGGGUAGGCCUGGCCAAUCACAAACUUCAACUUGGAUCAUGAGUUGGGGCUUUGAAAAGUUACAUUACCUUUUCAGCCAAUCACAAACCACACAGGGUAUAUAAACGCUGAGGCAUUUAAAUGCAUUGAUCAAAUCAUUAUCUCACAGUUCGGCAUUUUUUGAGUUUCGGAUUUGGGGGGCUCUGAAUUGUGUGUUACGGGUAAUACCAGCAUUUUGGUAUUACCCGUCCAAUUACGUUCCAAUCCUCACAUGUGGUAAUGAACUUUUGGUUGUGGCCAGAGAAAAUGAGAUAGCGGAUUCAAGCAGAUGAAUUAACUUGCUUUUGUUCGGAUGGCUUAUGAUAGAGAUAAUCUAAUGCUUCCCUUUAGAAAAGCACAACCACCUGGUAGGAGACCCCCGGGUUGACUAAGAACCGGCUGGAGAAGUUAUAUAUUAUCUGGCACAGCUAAGGUUUGAGGAGCAAAAGAGGGAAAAGGUUACAGGGGAGAGCGAUGUAUGAAACACAGAAGCUUGUAGCGCCAAAAUAACAAAAUUAGUAUUUUGUUUUUGCUAUUAAUGGUUGGUUUUUUAUUUUAUCUUGAACUCGGACUGAAGUUUAAUAUUAAGUUGCUACAUUAUGAAAUGUCAGAUUUUGAAACAUUCAGAAGAUUUAUUUCAAUUUCCAUUCUGCUUUUUCUUUUAGAUAACUAAAUUGUGAAAUAUUAAGUUAUUUAACAUGCAACUCCACUACUUUAACAACUUGGCAAUGAAAACCCUUCAAAGAAAAGUAAUACUAGAUGUUAGGCUCAUAAAUAUAUCAUAAAGGUGAUUAAUAUUCAAUCACAGAUUCAGUUUUACCAUAUUAGGCGGUGGCGAUUCCUCAGUUGAGUUUUUUUAGUGACUUCAAAAGGUUGACCUAUCGAAAGUGUCUUGCAGUCUGGGAAAUGAGCUAUAAAGAAAAAACGUUUGAAAGCCUGAUGAAAGGAAAAAAAAAACUCUUCUGUCCCCGGAUGUCUCUUUGGUUUUAAGCGCUUCUGUCUCUGUCCGUCUCUUUCUCCAUAUGUAUUUCCGUCUCUCUCCGUCUCCCCAGGCUCUCUUAUUAAAUACCUGGCCCCAAAACAAAAGCUCUCAAACCUCUCCCUUUUUGUCCCUCCCGCUCUCCCGCUCUCCCUGUCACCCUGUUCUUUUUACAGUUCCUUUCUCCCCUCGGGCCUUUCUGUGUCAUUACUCCAGUCCUGGAUUCAAAAUGUCAUUAAAGUCAACGCUUUAGUCAGAAUUCAUUUCAAUUAGAGCCAGUCACCCCGGGACUCUGAGGCGUUCUUCUUCCUCUUCAUCCUUUUCU